CUUCGGGCUGAUAACUAGGCAAUGAUCUCGUCUUUUCCACGAUCUUUGCCCUUUAAGUGUCCGAUAUAUUGAGAUAUUAGCGAAGGACUUACACGUCUUCGGAUCUUCUAUGAUGUCUGAUGUUUAUUUCUUCGCAACAUACACU
rnacentral:snoRNA from 1 species